rnacentral:rRNA from 1 species
AGGAUUAGAUACCCGGGUAGUCCCAGCUGUAAACGAUGCAGGCUAGGUGUUUGGACGGCCACGUGCCGUUCUAGUGCCGCAGGGAAGCUGUUAAGCCUGCCGCCUGGGGAGUACGGUCGCAAGAUUGAAACUUAAAGGAAUUGGCGGGGGAGCACCACAAGGGGUAAAGCUUGCGGUUUAAUUGGAGUCAACACCGGAAAUCUCACCGGGAGCGACAGCAGUUUGAAGGCCAGAUUAAAGGUCUUGCCAGACGAGCUGAGAGGAGGUGCAUGGCCGUCGCCAGUUCGUGCCGUGAGGUGUCCUGUUAAGUCAGGCAACGAUCGAGACCCACGUCCUCUGUUGCUACCAGUCUUGAGCUGGGCACACUGAGGAGACCGCCGCUGAUAAAGCGGAGGAAGGAGCGGGCCACGGCAGGUCAGUAUGCCCCGAAUCUCCCGGGCCACACGCGAGCUGCAAUGGCAGGUACAAUGGGUUCCGACCUCGAAAGGGGAAGGCAAUCUCGAAAGCCUGCCGUAGUUGGGAUUGAGGGUUGUAACCCAUCCUCAUGAACAUGGAAUCCCUAGUAAUCGCGUGUCACUAGCGCGCGGUGAAUACGUCCCUGCUCCUUGCACACACCGCCCGUCGUUCCACCCGAGCGAUCCUUGGGUGAGGCGUGGUCUUUCUUGGCUGCGUCGAAUCUGAGUUUCGUAAGGGGGGAAAAGUCGUAACAAG